CCUUGUUGCUCGUGAGUGGUCUAGGUCAGAGUCUACUGGAAGACAGGGUCUUUUCUUAGACUAAAGGCUUGGCCAGGGCACUGGACUAUGAGGCACCUCCCACUUCUCUCUAGCUAGGCCUUUGCCUGUAAUACAGGAAGAGAUCCAUUGCUCCCUAACUCACCAAAUGGGGCCUGAGUGAGCUUUUUUCUGUCCUAGCAGUGUGUACCUGCAAUUUUACAAGGGUUAUCUGUAAGAAAGAGAACCACUAAGUAGUAAUUAGGUUUUCUCUAUUUUAUUAAUAAAACAGAUUUUUGCAACAAUUUAUUAAAAAUUGGUUUUCAUGCAGUAUAAGGGGUAUACAAGAAAUUCUCCAUGUAUUCUCUCUUUUUUUAAAAUAAUUUUUGACAGUUCCAGUCUAGAUUAAAGCAUUUUGUGCACUAUCAUUGUUGGAAAAUGCCAUUGGGGCAUAGCUCGUCAUAAAUUUUUACAGUACAUUUUUGCUGCAGUAUAAAAAAAAACAGAAACAUUAAAUAGCUAUAGUCACUUUUGUGGGCCUUAUUAUCUGCAGGAAAUUUAAAAAAAAUAUAUGUUGUGGGAGAAACUACAGUUGCAUUGGAGACAAAGAAUGUACUGCAUGAUUUAAACCUAAGAAACAGCACACGGUCAGUAUUCACAAAGAGUUACAGACACACACUCACCGCCAACAGUCCAAUACUUUUUGGAAAUUUUUUUUUGAUUUGUUUCCUGCUAUGUUGGAAUAAUAUUUUCUACAGAAAUGUUUGUGUAUACAUUAUAUACAGUAUUAUUGUUCUUUUUUGAAAAGUAAUAUUUAUUUGUAUUAAAUAAAGUCCUGAUGAAGUUUAUUAAUAAAUUAAGAGAAUACUGGCAACACACAUACAUACACGCUCACACACUCACACCAGACGACACCUUCAGUGGUUAGUGCUCAAACCGAGUGAUGUGUCCUGCUCCCUGUGCGGUAGACUUACUCACUGUUAUCCUAACACUUCCAGGUGCCUCCAUGACCUCUCAACGAAAUGUGUGCAGGGAGAGAUUCUGUGAUGCCCCCAGUGGAUUAAGCGUCAUGUGUUUCAAAGCUGGUGGUUUUCUGACUGUAGACCUUCCAACCUCGAUGUGCUGGCCUGGUUGACACUGGUGACUGACGUGGAUGUUUUUGAGUCAUCUUUCUUCUGGUUCUGAGUGAACUGGAGUCCUCUGUUUCGGGUGGCAGCAUCUGGAUUUGUUCUCAGUGUGAUUAGCUGAAAGUUGAAGAAUAUCUCAUUUUAUUUUUGUGUAUCUGUGCCCAAAAAAAUGUUCAUUGAACGUGCAUUCAAAUGUGUAAUGCUGGAUUUGAGACAUAGUCUUCAGUAGCACCUUGCCAAUUUUAUCAUCCAUGUGAGCUAAAACUAUUUAACCACUUCCCAUAAUUUAGCAAAGGCACCUUAACGUGCUACUUAGCUAAUGUUAGAAGCUCAAAAUAAUGUGUAAGGGGCUGCUGAUAUGGCUUCUUCCCACACUAGUGUCAAACCUCCAGGAAACUAGACUUCUCCUAGGAAUCACAGAUUUCUGACAUUACUGGUGAAAUGCAGAAAUGAUGCCUGUGGCUUCCAAACCUCCCCUGGAAGGUAAUAUUUGAAGGGAUCUGAAAACAACUUUUAAACACACACAUCCAAUUCCAUUUCUCCUUUUAGAGUUCCCUUCUUCAGUAUUGGGAUACCAUAAUUUACUAAACUUUGGCCAAAGAGAUUAGAAAAUUCCAUUCAUAUGCCAAUGUGGUUAAGUGUUUCAACCCAAAGUAGAUGGACUUUGUACAUUCAUUAUUAUUUAUUGAUUAAAGUUUAUUACACACCCUUCACUAUAA